UAGAUACUUUAAAAUUAAAAAAUUUGGCGGUAACUUAAUCUUUUUAGAGGAACUUGCUUUGUAAUCGAUAAACCACGUAAAAUCUUACUUGUUUUUGUAAAAUUAGCAGUUUGUAUACCGUCAUUAUCAGGUGAUUCUAAAAAGGAUAAAAUCUCUGAGUUUUAUUGGUUAGAUAAAUUAGAUCAAGGUGCAGUCUAUAAACAAGUUGAAGUGAGUUACAAUAAGUUAUCUUAUAACGAAACAAUAAAUGAAAUCUUAUUGUAGAAGGAGGAUUUAAUUGUAUCACAAUUUUAUUAAGUUUGUGAGAAAUAAGCUCUAAGUUAUGUACAUAUCGCCCGUCGCUUCCGCUAAAUUAAAGGAAUAAGUCGUAACAUAGUAGAUAUACUGGAAAGUGUAUCUGGAAUUAAGCAUA
rnacentral:rRNA from 1 species